CCUGUCUUAAACCCAGUCCUUAAUAUCCUCUGCGGUAUGGUUAAAAAAUUGUUCUAAUAGGAGGAGUUGUAACGCAUCCUCCAGAGUGGUUGCUUGGCAGCCCUUCAUCCAAUUUCGGGCUGCCCUGUGUAGCCGGAAUGCCCAUUCAGUAUGGGUAUCCCUCCCUGUUUUCCUCAGUUCCCUGAAUUUCUUUCUGUAUGCCUCAGGGGUAACCGCAUACCUAGCCAACAAAAUGUCUUUUAUCUUCCCAUAAUUGUGAAUAUCCUCAUCAGGUACUGCUCGUGCUGCUUCUGAUGCUCUGCCUGACAACUUGUUGCUCAGUACUGCAGCCCAUUUGGUGGAGUCUAAUCCCUCCAGUGCACAUUGCCUUUCAAAGUCUUGCAGAUAACUAUCAAUCUCCAUUUCAUUGUCAUUAAAGUUUUUAAAUGCAGCAUAAUUUACCUUUUUCCGCAUGUCAUUUGUACUUCCCGGGGAGUGUAGCAAAUCUCCCUGUAGUAGUCUGUCAUCUCGCUCCUUCUGUGCUUGCCUUGCUUGUGCCAUGACCUGCAGCAUCGCCUCUGUUGCUGGAUUAGGUCCCAAUAAACUGAGCAUCCAUCUGAUGUCC